rnacentral:rRNA from 1 species
GACAGAGGGUGCAAACGUUGCUCGGAAUCACUGGGCGUAAAGGGUGCGUAGGCGGGUCUUUUAAAGUCAGGGGUGAAAUCCUGGAGCUCAACUCCAGAACUGCCUUUGAUACUGAGGAUCUUGAGUCCGGGAGAGGUGAGUGGAACUGCGAGUGUAGAGGUGAAAUUCGUAGAUAUUCGGAAGAACACCAGUGGCGAAGGCGGCUCACUGGCCCGGUACUGACGCUGAGGUGCGAAAGCGUGGGGAGCAAA